CGCCAACAAAAUGUAGACGAACUGCGGGAACAGACGCAAGGCCACAGUGGCAGAUCAAAGCGAGGCGGCGAGGGGGCAGGCUCAGCUACGCAUGAUGAGGCACUACCAUAAUGAAGUUUGAUCCUGGUAAAGAACACAGGAGCCUGUAGAGGUCCAAGACCAGAAAUCAACCCCACACCCUGGCCCUCAGACUUAAGCACAUCGCGCACAGUCACAAAAACCAAAAGAGUGAGCUGGUGUGUGUCCGUUUUGCCUAAAUCACGUGAGCUUUGUUGCUGUGGUUGAAGUUGGAGAAAAUCAGAAUGGCGCACCAUAAGGGCAAAGCAAGUAGGUCUAGGUGGCUGAAAAUAAGAUUUUAUGGCCUGACGCGUGGUGGGUUGGUUGACAGCGCUGGAGACCUUCUUUAAUUCGAGGGGGCCAUGGAGCAUGGAGAACAAUCAGAAAUUCCCAGAGCUGUCAGCUCUUUAUCACGUGAUGUCAGUGCUGAGCUGGACCACAUUUUCUGUCUCUGGUGCUACAGUUUUCUCCCCGAAGUUCCUUAAAUGUGACCAAACCUCUCCUCAACGCCACGGAAUGCAGAGCUUGGAGGGUCUGUUGGGCGGCGCGGGCUGCCCCUCAGGAAUACUGCCGCCUCUGACCAUGGCUAGAAUCACCAGCAGCUUCCAGCUUGUGAUGUGGGGGACGCAAGAGGCCGGGUACCCUUGUUCUGUGUCAGUUACAUUGGCUUCCUUGAUUCAAAGCGGUUGCCUCAUAAGUAUUAUUUUUUUGUGAAUAUUAUGCUUGACAGUUUAAAUUCAUGCAUUCUAGUGUUUUUUAGUCACCACCACUUCCAUACCACUCAGAGAUUGUGUCAGAGCCUAGCAUGCUAUUUUGCAAACAUCAAAUGUUAAAUAAAUAUUUUGCUGUGAAUGAAUGAAUGAGUGGACGGAUGGAU
rnacentral:lncRNA from 1 species